GCUUGAGUCGCCGAAUUCGGAGUGUUGACCUAAGGUGACUCACCAUGGGGAGGGCAGGUGGUUCCAGCUUGCUUAUGCCGCAAUGUUCAUGGCCCUAAGCCAGGGAGAGAAUCGGAGGGGGGGAGGGGGGUCCAAGUCUUCCCAUGCAGGGACGUGGGCUCCAAACUUACCCUCCUCAGAAGCUCCUCUCUAGACCUACUUCCCCUCCCGCCUCCACCAGAAGAGGAUUUUCUGGACACAUUUGCUUGCCCUCUCCCCCAAUCCCUAUCCCUACUUUUUCUCCUCACCCUGAGUCCUACACUGAUCCAGGACUCCCAAAUUGGCCUUCCAAGGGAACCCUUACUUCAGGGAUCCCCCCCCCCAAGAAAUUCCCCUCCAGAGAGUUCAGCCCAGUCUAACGUGAAGGAGGGCUCCCAGCCCCCUCCCCUCUCACCCCGAAACACACCUGAUCCAAAACACUGUUCCUCUUCUCAAGUCACACUCUCUCAGCCCCCAUCCCAGCCGUUCCUUUGAAGCCUGAUGCCCCCCCCCCCAAAUUGUAUCUGCCCCUGCCACUCAACUCCUGCCACAUUCUGAGUUUUCCUCAGAUGGGAAGAAUCGCCCCACCAUCCCCCUCCUUCUCUUGCCCCCACCAGGCGCUCUCUCUCUCUCUCUCUCUCUCUCUCUCUCUCUCUCUGCGCUCAUUCCUCUCUUGGAGAGAGAGGAGAAGGAGGGGCAGCGGGGAGAUUGUGCAAAGAGGACACUUUUUUCCUCUUCCUGUUUUUGGAGGGGCAAAGGGGGGAGAAGAUUCAGUCCUGAGGCCUGCCACCAAGAUCUAUAGUUCUCCAAGGAUUGCUUCCUUCUUUCAAAUCAAAUCUUCCCCAACUUGAUAUUCUGCCUUGCCUACCCUCAAAUUGUACCCUUUUUUUCUUUUCUCUCUCUCUCUCUUCCCCGGCCUGAGUGAAAAUCUCUCUCUCUCCCUCAAAUCUCAAAUCCAUUUCUCCUCUCCUUCCUCUCUUCUCACCUUUUAAAAUCCCUUAUUUCCCUUUGUUCCCAUUUUCUAGACACUAUCCCUAAGAUUUUACCUCAGUGUUGUCUUAUAUUUCCUUUGGUCCUUACAAAAGGGGGGAGGGGGGGCCAUUCCUUUAGCCGCUUCUGUUUCUUAAUUUCCCCUUUUUCUUUCUUUCCCAUCUGGGAAGCAUGGCAAAGGAUUUGGGUGGGGGAAGGGGACUCCCAGAAAAGUGUUGAUUAAAUUUUGUGUGUUUAUGUAAUGUGUGGGCUGUAAACUCUUCUCUACUCAUCCCUUUGCCUUAAAAGCCACCAGUGAUAUAUAGUUUUCUGGGAAGGAGGGCUGGAAUGGACUAGCUUAGUGCUAUGCUCUCUCUCUCUCCCUUUUCUUCUGUGCCAUCUCACCUCCCUAUUUUCAAAGGUUCAAGCCCUAAUAUUUUGUGAGACCCCCCCCCCCAGAGAAAACCUGCUGCUUCUGUGGUUUUAACUUUUUCUUGUCUCUCUCUCCUCAAGCCUCCCUUAUCUUAGAGAGAAAAGGGGGGGGGGGGGAUGGAAGAAUUGAUGUAUUUUUCUAUAUGUGAGUUUUUUUCUCUCUCUCUCUCUCUUCCACUUCAUGUUUUCCUAGGCCAAAAUGCACUUCAACAUUCUCCUUUUUCAAAGCUCCCCCCCCCUUCCUUCCCAGCAUCCCCAUUUCUCCUUAUAAACAUUCAGUCAAAAUCCUGGUUUACUUUUAUAGUAAAGGCACUCUUUCACUCUCCACAGUUCCCCAACAAUCUCCUUUCUUCCUUUCGGGUCCUUCUCCCUCCCUUUCCCUGAGUGCAUGCGUGUGAAUGUUUUAAAAAUCCCUCUAACUGCCUUUAAUUAUGAGGGGGGGCAGUACAGAGUCCAGGGGACCUUCCAGGCACAGCUGAAGAGAUCCAGAGGACCGGACCCAACCACCUGACUGAGGACAUCAGACCAGACUGCAAGACCCAUAAUCCAUACCUGCCACCAUGAACAGUUCUAAGACCUGGGUAGGGGCUCUCGGAGUGCGCUGUGGAUUUCAUGCAGCAGCUAGAACCCAGAGGCCAUUGGAGAUGGUCCUGUGAGGGCUUUUAUGGCCAGACCACCGUAUGGUGCCCUCCAGCUGGCCUGGUUCUGCCCUGGCAAAGGGCUACUGAGUGCAGGUCUGCCUUUGACGCUGCCAAGGAGGCCCUCAUGACAUCACCAGGGGACAGAAUUGGCCGCCAUGGCAGAAGAUGUCCCAGAAGAAAUGAACAGGAUUCUACCAGUGACCACCAUGAGGGAAGGAUGUUCCACUUUCACCAGAGCUGUGCCAAAGAAGGACCCCAGGACUGCUGGAGCCCUCACAAGGUAUGAGUGACUUCCCUGACUAACCCCACCACGGGAGGGAGGGGGGCUUAUAAUCUGUCCUUAGUUUCCCUAGGCACUCUCUCCUUUCCGUCUCCUCUGUUGGAGUGCUGGACCUGCCUGCAGUCACCAGGAGGCGCCGUGCUGUGAGGCGCAGAAGCUGUGCCCAGUUGCCCCCAGCUGCCAACUACAAAGGGGGGCCCAAGCUGCAGCCAAGAAAAGGCAGCCAAAUGGGAGUACUGCAUCACAGCCUCCAUCAUCCCCAGCCCUCACCACCUCCACCUUCAUGCUCCAUUUCCCAUGACUCCAGACCAAGGGACAUCUGUUUCAACACCAUGGGAUCACCCACCACUGACUGAACCUCAGCUUUCACCUCUUCAAGCUCCUGCCCUCCAACAAAAAGGCACAAUCUGAUCUACCAAGGCAGAGGCCCUGCAUGCAGUGAAAUGUCGGGGCUUUGGGAAAUGUUCAUAGCCAUUUCCAAGCCCCGAAGGGGGGAAAAUGUGAUCGAGGUGACCUCCCCUCCAGGACUUUGUAAAAGAUAGUUCAAAAAUCAAGACUUUAUGUUCUAUAUUCCAUAUAUUUAUAGUAGAAGGUGAUUGAGACUUUUUACUGGAGUUUACUGUGGAUUAUCCCUGCAUUCUGAGGCAAGAGAUAACAACUUCAUGAAUUGUAAAAUCAUGCUGCUAAAACUCCACUUCUAUGACUUUCCAUAUUGGGUUCCCCAGAUGUUGUAAACCUCGUUCUUAUCAAAUGUUUUCAAUUGUUUAUAUCAUCCAUGAUUCCCCUUUAUGCAAUGUCACCCACCUUUAUGGAUUCUCCUUUAUUUCCUUGAAAUCUAUCUAUCUGCCUAUA